rnacentral:rRNA from 1 species
UGGAUUCGCUAGUAAUCGCGCAUCAGCCAUGGCGCGGUGAAUACGUUCCCGGGCCUUGUACACACCGCCCGUCAAGCCAUGAAAGCCGGGGGUGCCUGAAGUUCGUGACCGCAAGGAGCGACCUAGGGCAAAACUGGUAAUUGGGGCUAAGUCGUAACAAGGUAGCCGUACCGGAAGGUGUGGCUGGAACACCUCCUUU